GUAGUCAUAUGCUUGUCUCAAAGAUUAAGCCAUGCAUGUCUAAGUAUAAGCAAUUAUACGGCGAAACUGCGAAUGGCUCAUUAUAUAAGUUAUCGUUUAUUUGAUAGUACUUUCCUACUUGGAUAACCGUGGUAAUUCUAGAGCUAAUACAUGCUAAAAAUCCCGACUUCGGAAGGGAUGUAUUUAUUAGAUUAAAAACCAAUGCCCUUCGGGGCUCACUGGUGAUUCAUGAUAACUUCACGGAUCGCACGGCCUUGCGCCGGCGAUGGUUCAUUCAAAUUUCUUCCCUAUCAACUUUCGAUGUUUGGGUCUUGGCCAAACAUGGUUGCAACGGGUAACGGAGGGUUAGGGCUCGACCCCGGAGAAGGAGCCUGAGAAACGGCUACUACAUCCAAAGAAGGCAGCAGGCGCGCAAAUUACCCAAUCCCGACACGGGGAGGUAGUGACAAUAAAUACUGAUACAGGGCUCUUUUGGGUCUUGUAAUUGGAAUGAGUACAAUUUAAAUCCCUUAACGAGGAACAAUUGGGGGGCAAGUCUGGUGCCAGCAGCC
rnacentral:rRNA from 1 species